rnacentral:rRNA from 1 species
GAUGAACGCUGGCGGCGUGCCUAAUACAUGCAAGUCGAGCGAACAGACGAGGAGCUUGCUCCUCUGACGUUAGCGGCGGACGGGUGAGUAACACGUGGAUAACCUACCUAUAAGACUGGGAUAACUUCGGGAAACCGGAGCUAAUACCGGAUAAUAUAUUGAACCGCAUGGUUCAAUAGUGAAAGACGGUUUUGCUGUCACUUAUAGAUGGAUCCGCGCCGCAUUAGCUAGUUGGUAAGGUAACGGCUUACCAAGGCAACGAUGCGUAGCCGACCUGAGAGGGUGAUCGGCCACUCUGGAACUGAGACACGGUCCAGACUCCUACGGGAGGCAGCAGUAGGGAAUCUUCCGCAAUGGGCGAAAGCCUGACGGAGCAACGCCGCGUGAGUGAUGAAGGUCUUCGGAUCGUAAAACUCUGUUAUUAGGGAAGAACAAAUGUAUAAGUAACUAUGCACGUCUUGACGGUACCUAAUCAGAAAGCCACGGCUAACUACGUG